CUACGGGGCGCUGCAGUGGGGAAUUUUGCGCAAUGGGCGAAAGCCUGACGCAGCAACGCCGCGUGCGGGAUGAAGGCCUUCGGGUCGUAAACCGCUUUCAGCAGGGAAGAAGUUGACUGUACCUGCAGAAGAAGCUCCGGCUAACUACGUGCCAGCAGCCGCGGUAAUACGUAGGGAGCGAGCGUUAUCCGGAUUUAUUGGGCGUAAAGCGCGCGUAGGCGGCUUGCCAAGCGGGAUCUCAAAACCGAGGGCUCAACCCCCGGACGGAUCCCGAACUGGCAGGCUCGAGUUCGGUAGGGGAAGAUGGAAUUCCCAGUGUAGCGGUGAAAUGCGCAGAUAUUGGGAAGAACACCGAUGGCGAAGGCAGUCUUCUGGGCCGCAACUGACGCUGAGGUGCGAAAGCUAGGGGAGCGAACAGGAUUAGAUACCCUUGUAGUC
rnacentral:rRNA from 1 species